rnacentral:rRNA from 1 species
CCUACGGGGGGCAGCAGUGAGGAAUAUUGGUCAAUGGGCGGGAGCCUGAACCAGCCAAGCCGCGUGAGGGAAGAAGGUACAGCGUAUCGUAAACCUCUUUUGUCAGGGAACAAAGGCGGGGACUAGUCCCCGGAUGAGGGUACCUGAAGAAAAAGCAUCGGCUAACUCCGUGCCAGCAGCCUCGGUAAUACGGAGGAUGCGAGCGUUAUCCGGAUUUAUUGGGUUUAAAGGGUGCGCAGGCGGCCUGUUAAGUCAGCGGGAAAAGCCCGGGGCUCAACCCCGGCGAGCCGUUGAAACUGGCGGGCUGGAGUUGGAGAGAAGUACGCGGAAUGCGCGGUGUAGCGGUGAAAUGCUUAGAUAUCGCGCAGAACCCCGAUUGCGAAGGCAGCGUACCGGCUCCACACUGACGCUGAGGCACGAAAGCGUGGGUAUCGAACAGGAUUAGAUACCCGAGUAGUC